rnacentral:rRNA from 1 species
UUGACCUCGGAUCAGGUAGGGAUACCCGCUGAACUUAAGCAUAUCAUGGCGGGGGGGAGGAA